CCUACGGGAGGCAGCAGGAGGGAAUCUUGCACAAUGGGCGAAAGCCAGAUGCAGCGACGCCGCGUGGGCGAUGAAGGCCUUCGGGUUGUAAAGCCCUUCUCCGAGGGAAGAGCAAGGACGGUACCUCGGGAAUAAGCCACGGCUAACUACGUGCCAGCAGCCGCGGUAAGACGUAGGUGGCGAGCGUUAUCCGGAUUCAUUGGGCGUAAAGCGCGUGCAGGGGGUUCUGUAAGUCGGGGGUGAAAGCCCCGGGCUAAACCGGGGGAGGGCAUUCGAUACUGCAGGGCUUGAGGUCAGAAGAGGGGAGCGGAAUUCCCGGUGUAGCGGUAAAAUGCGUAGAUAUCGGGAGGAACACCAGUGGCGAAGGCGGCCCCCUGGUCUGCACCUGACACUGAGACGCGAAAGCGUGGGGAGCGACCGGGAUUAGAUACCCGGGUAGU
rnacentral:rRNA from 1 species